UACGGCUUAUCACCGUCAGUAUCUCUAAAGUACUCAACUGAAUGUUAGCAACUAGAGAAGAGGGUUGCGCUCGUUAUAGGACUUAACCAAACAUCUCACGACACGAGCUGACGACGGCCAUGCACCACCUGUGUAGAUCCACCCGAAGUGACAGUCUAAUUACUUAGACCUACAAUCUACAUGUCAAGAGCUGGUAAGGUUUUGCGCGUACCUUCGAAUUAAACCACAUGUUCCACCGCUUGUGCGGGUCCCCGUCAAUUCCUUUGAGUUUUAAUCUUGCGACCGUACUCCUCAGGCGGAGGGCUUAUUGCGUUAGCUGCGACACUGAAUAUUAAAAACAUCCAACAUCUAGCUCUCAUCGUUUAGGGCGUGGACUAC
rnacentral:misc_RNA from 1 species